GAUGAACGCUGGCGGCGUGCCUAAUACAUGCAAGUCGAGCGAACAGACGAGGAGCUUGCUCCUCUGACGUUAGCGGCGGACGGGUGAGUAACACGUGGAUAACCUACCUAUAAGACUGGGAUAACUUCGGGAAACCGGAGCUAAUACCGGAUAACAUGUUGAACCGCAUGGUUCAACAGUGAAAGACGGUCUUGCUGUCACUUAUAGAUGGAUCCGCGCCGCAUUAGCUAGUUGGUAAGGUAACGGCUUACCAAGGCAACGAUGCGUAGCCGACCUGAGAGGGUGAUCGGCCACAUUGGAACUGAGACACGGUCCAGACUCCUACGGGAGGCAGCAGUAGGGAAUCUUCCGCAAUGGGCGAAAGCCUGACGGAGCAACGCCGCGUGAGUGAUGAAGGUCUUCGGAUCGUAAAACUCUGUUAUUAGGGAAGAACAAAUGUGUAAGUAACUAUGCACGUAUUGACGGUACCUAAUCAGAAAGCCACGGCUAACUACGUG
rnacentral:rRNA from 1 species